AAGUCGUAACAAGGUUUCCGUAGGUGAACCUGCGGAAGGAUCAUCAUCGAUUCUAAAGAGGAUGUGCUGGCUUAAUUGCAUGUGCACUCUGAUUUACCUUUAACCCCUGUGCACUAUUUUGUAGGCGUGAUGAAAGAGAGACUUGUAGCAAUACAAUGUAUCUCAAGUAUUUAUGCUUAUGAUUUUUAUACACUCUUUUAACUUGUAAAGAAUGCUCAGUAGACUUACUUAAGUCGAAAUUAUAAAACAACUUUCAACAACGGAUCUCUUGGUUCUC
rnacentral:misc_RNA from 1 species